rnacentral:rRNA from 1 species
CGUAGGUGAACCUGCGGAGGGAUCAUUAAAGAGUUGCAAAACUCCCUAAACCAUUGUGAACCUACCUUCAAACCGUUGCUUCGGCGGGUUCGGCGCCCUCGCGCGCCCCCGGCCCCACCUCGGGGCGGCCCGCCGGAGGUACCUAACUCUUGAACAUUGUAUGGCCUCUCUGAGUCUUCUGUACUGAAUAAGUCAAAACUUUCAACAACGGAUCUCUUGGUUCUGGCAUCGAUGAAGAACGCAGCGAAAUGCGAUAAGUAAUGUGAAUUGCAGAAUUCAGUGAAUCAUCGAAUCUUUGAACGCACAUUGCGCCCGCCAGUAUUCUGGCGGGCAUGCCUGUUCGAGCGUCAUUUCAACCAUCAAGCCCCGGGCUUGUGUUGGGGACCUGCGGCUGCCCGCAGGCCCUGAAAACCAGUGGCGGGCUCGCUAGUCACACCGAGCGUAGUAGAUUUCAUCUCGCUCAGGGCGUGCUGCGUGUUCCGGCCGUUAAAACAACGCCUUACACCCAAGGUUGACCUCGGAUCAGGUAGGAAGACCCGCUGAACUUAAGCAUAUCAAUAAGCGGAGGAA